GACGGAGGAUGCAAGCGUUAUCCGGAAUGAUUGGGCGUAAAGCGUCCGCAGGUGGCAGUUCAAGUCUGCUGUCAAAGACCGGGGCUUAACUUCGGAAAGGCAGUGGAAACUGAACAGCUAGAGUAUGGUAGGGGCAGAGGGAAUUCCUGGUGUAGCGGUGAAAUGCGUAGAUAUCAGGAGGAACACCGGUGGCGAAGGCGGAUCUCUGGGCCAUUACUGACGCUGAGGAGCGAAAGCGUGGGGAGCGAACAGG
rnacentral:rRNA from 1 species